rnacentral:lncRNA from 1 species
AUUUUUUGAUACAUUCAAAUCAAUUCUGGUUAUAUUGCUUACAUGAAUGCUACAAAAUCCACAGUCUUUCACUUCCCAAUCCCGUCAUGAUCCCAAAGCCUUUAAUUUGUAUCGGUGACGGGUCUGUACAAUUCAUGACUGUUCCUCUGUCUGACAUUAGAGUUAGCCUCGCUGAUUCUUCCCAGUUUACUUCAAAUACCUUGAACUCCGAGC